rnacentral:rRNA from 1 species
UACGUAGGUGGCGAGCGUUGUCCGGAUUUAUUGGGCGUAAAGAGCCCGCAGGCGGCUCGGCAAGUUUCAGGUGAAAUCUCCCGGCUUAACCGGGAGGGUGCCUGGAAAACUGCCGGGCUUGAGGCAGGGAGAGGGAUGCGGAAUUCCCGGUGUAGUGGUGAAAUGCGUAGAUAUCAGGAGGAACACCUGUGGUGUAGACGGCUUUCUGGACCAUAGCUGACGCUGAGACACGAAAGCGUGGGUAGCAAACAGG